UUAAGUCGUAAGCCAAGAAUGAUAGAGAAAGAGAUUACGCAAUGCUCAUGUUUGCUUUCAGUCAGCUGUUCUUGCUGACGUCACGGUUGACUUAUUAUUCGCCCGCAUCUUUAAUUAUAAAUUCGAAUUGUAAUUUCGAGUGAAGUAUUAAUUGAGUAAUUUUAUAUUUUUUUAAAUACGUUACGCAGUGUUCCUCUGCAAUAAUAACAAUGUUAAAAAUAAUUCUACAGAGUGGAGAUUUUUCCAUUUCCCUAAGGAUAAAACAGUACUAAAACAAUGGAUUCAUUUUUGUCGUCGGGCGAAUACACUGCACUCCAAAAGCCUCCGAAAGCAAUUUGCAUUUUAUAAUGGGUUUAAGCUCGCGGAAUCCAACGAAGUUACUACCUAGCGCUUUUCCCACGUUAGAAAAUUAUGUAGUCUUGUUUAAACCAGGACGUUUUUAGACGGUCUUCAUGAUCACCCUGACAGGCAGGAGUUCAAGUAUAGGCUGCGUUGUUAUAUACUUGGUCACAACGAAGGAGCGGUUACAGAUGGAGGAAAUGUUAAAGUCGCCAACAUCCCAGAUUUGGAAGGGAAUUACUUAUCUCUAACCGGUAAUAUUUUUUAACGUCUGUCAGUAGAUCUAAACCCCACUGGCCCAACUGAAAAAAAUUGAUGACUUGGAGAUUCUCAACAACGACGGACUUGAGAAUUUUUCAGGGUACAUCUGCCACAACCUUGGUAAAGACAACCCCGAAAUUUGUGCCAAUUCAGAAAAUUGUUCAUCUUAUACUUGGGUGGAUCGCCUUUCUGAAGGACGACUCUCAAAACCAACAGAUAUGUUGAUGGAGCUUUGCAAGUAGUAUUUGACGACAUAAAUGAUACUAAUUUGCAUAUAUGUAUGUACAAAUUAUGUUCAAAAACACUUAGAUUUAAGUAAUUUUGUAAACUAUCACGAAAGUAAAAGAACUGUUGUUUAGAGCUGGAAUGUAUUUUAGGAUUCGUUGCUUUAAUAAAAACAUAAUUGAAAAUAUGUACAGCAAAAAAAGAAAAUUA